rnacentral:lncRNA from 1 species
CUGCUUCAGGUGAUUCUGGAUCAUUAAGCCACAAGGAUGACGAAGGUUGGGAGUCAGAAACAGACAGUGUCAAUGACUGAUGGACCAUGGUUGACCACAGGUAAUUGAAACCCUGGAAGGUGAAACUGCAGAUAAGGAGGACUACAGUGUUCAACUAUUUACAAAUAAUGACAGUGGCCACAAAGAUUACCUUGAAAAGAGACCGUGAGACAGUUUCACACAGACUGUGCCUGGAUUUCCAUGAGUCUCUGCCAACUGCUUUUUAAGAGGUUUGUUGGCAGGAAGUGUCUUGGUUUUCUUGAUGGCAGAGAUAAAGAAAAAAAGAAAAAAAACAAACGUGAAAAAUUCCAAGGAUCAAUUUGCUAUUCAGUUUGGAAAAUAGUUAUUUACAAGAAGCACUGUGGCAUCUACAAGAUCUUGCUACCUCACCCAACUACUCCCUCCCUAAUCCAAAAAAAUGAGAGAAACCCAUUGCAGUCUGUGGUUGGGGUUGAUUAA